CCUACGGGAGGCUGCAGUGGGGAAUAUUGCACAAUGGGCGCAAGCCUGAUGCAGCCAUGCCGCGUGUGUGAAGAAGGCCUUCGGGUUGUAAAGCACUUUCAGCGGGGAGGAAGGCGUUAAGGUUAAUAACCCUGUCGAUUGACGUUACCCGCAGAAGAAGCACCGGCUAACUCCGUGCCAGCAGCCGCGGUAAUACGGAGGGUGCAAGCGUUAAUCGGAAUUACUGGGCGUAAAGCGCACGCAGGCGGUCUGUCAAGUCGGAUGUGAAAUCCCCGGGCUCAACCUGGGAACUGCAUUCGAAACUGGCAGGCUAGAGUCUUGUAGAGGGGGGUAGAAUUCCAGGUGUAGCGGUGAAAUGCGCAGAGAUCUGGAGGAAUACCGGUGGCGAAGGCGGCCCCCUGGACAAAGACUGACCCUCAGGUGCGAAAGCGUGGGGAGCAAACAGGAUUAGAUACCCGUGUAGUC
rnacentral:rRNA from 1 species